AGCAGCCGCGGUAAUUCCAGCUCCAAUAGCGUAUAUUAAAGUUGUUGCAGUUAAAAAGCUCGUAGUUGAAUUUCGGGGUUAGUAGGUCGGUCAUGCCACUGGUAUGUACUGGUCUCACUGAUUCCUCCUUCCUGAUGAACCGUAAUGCCAUUAAUUUGGUGUUGCGGGGAGACUGGACUGUUACUUUGAAAAAAUUAGAGUGUUUAAAGCAGGCUAACGCUUGAAUACAUUAGCAUGGAAUAAUGAAAUAGGACGUUCGAUCCUAUUUUGUUGGUUUCUAGGAUUGACGUAAUGAUUAAUAGGGAUAGUUGGGGGCAUUAGUAUUCAAUUGUCAGAGGUGAAAUUCUUGGAUUUAUUGAAGACUAACUACUGCGAAAGCAUUUGCCAAGGAUGUUUUCAUUAAUCAAGAACGAAAGUUAGGGGAUCGAAGACGAUCAGAUACCGUCGUAGUCUUAACCAUAAACUAUGCCGACUAGGGAUCGGAUGAUGUUAAUUUUUAAUGACUCAUUCGGCGCCUUAC
rnacentral:rRNA from 1 species